GGAGGUAUAGCUCAGUGGUAGAGUGCAUGUUUAGCAUGCACGAGGUCCUGGAUUCAAUCCCCAGUACCUCCA
rnacentral:tRNA from 1 species